rnacentral:tRNA from 1 species
GCUCCUUUAACUCAAUUGGUAGAGUAACCGGCUUUUAACCGGUAGGUUGUGGGUUCGAGUCCCAUGAGGAGCA